CCUGAGAAUCUCUUUUCCCUGGGAAUCUCUUUUCCUGGGAAUCUCUCUUCUUGGGACUCUCUUUUCCUGGGAAUUUCUUUUCCUGGCAAUCUCUUUUCCUGGGAAUCUCUUUUCCCUGGGAAUCCCGUUUCCUGGGAAUCUCCCUUCUUGGGACUCUCUUUUCCUGGGACUCUCUUUUCCUGGGAAUUUCUUUUCCCUGACAAUCUCUUUUCUUGGGAAUCUCUUUUCUUGAGAAUCUCUUUUCCUGGGAAUCUCUUUUCCCAGGGAAUCUCUUUUCCUUUCAGUUUCAAACUGGAUUUAAGGCACCGGAAUUGUGGCAUGGAAGGAGCGGCAGCAAUGGUUGGGAAUGACCCACAGGUGCCUGAGACAUCUCCCCCAGGGUGACAUCUCCCCUCUAAAGGGAGGAAAAUGAUGAAUGUGGAAGUCAGAGCCAGGCCAGAGACUGGGAUGCGGGAAAACCUCCCCAAAGUGCAUUUGUGCAGCAGGAAGGGAGCGGGGUGGGCACUCACAGGGCAAUGAGUGAGCACACACAUGACCAGGUAUUCAUUGACCAGGGGUGACAGGAGGGCAGCGGCCACAGAGCCAGUCUGGGUGUCACACACAGCC
rnacentral:lncRNA from 1 species